GAGAGCGCAGAUCCGACGGAUCCCAGCUCCGGGGAUAUCGCGCGCUCGCUCAUGCCCAGCAGCAAGUUGUCGUCCAUGCAGGACAUGGAGGCAGCCGCCGACGUAUCCGAGAUGUCUCCAAAGGCUGUGGGCGGCGCAACGGGAGACCUCUUCGCCGCGACCCGCAAGACGACGGCCGAGCCGCAGCCCGAUCCCGAUCCCGAGCCCGAGCCCGAGCUCGAGCCCGAGCCCGAGCCAGAAUCCCUGUCGCUCAUGCCCAGCAGUAAGUUGUCGUCCAUGCAGGACAUGGAGGCAGCCGCCGACGUAUCCGAGAUGUCUCCAAAGGCUGUGGGCGGCGCAACGGGAGACCUCUUCGCCGCGACCCGCAAGACGACGGCCGAGCCGCAGCCCGAUCCCGAGCCCGAGCCCGAGCUCGAGUCCGGACCGGUGGAGGCGAAAGAAUCGUCUUCGAUGGCCGACCCUGAGUACAGCGCUGACUUUGAGGAUGCUCCCGCGG
rnacentral:lncRNA from 1 species